GCUUAGCGACAAUAGCAACGUGGUACCACCUGAUCCCAUGCCGAACUCAGAAGUGAAACGCGUUAGCGCCGAUGGUAGUGUGGGAGGUCCCAUGUGAGAGUAGGACAUUGCUAAGC
rnacentral:rRNA from 1 species